ACUAGUGUUAUUCAUCUUUAAUAGGUUUAAAGGGUACCUAGACGGUAAAUCAAGCCCUUGCAUAGCAUGACGGGACUAAUUUGCUAGAGUUACUUAUGCGGGGGUUUUAAAGUACUAAUGGUGUAGAGAUAAAAUUUUGUAAUACCAUAUUUCGAAAGAAAUGUUUUGGCACUGGUAAAGGCGAAAGCAUCCCCUUAUGUGAUAACUGACGUUGAAGGACGAAGGCUUUGGAUCGCGAAUAGGAAUAGAUACCCUAGUAGUCGAAGCAGAAAAUGAUGAGUGUCAUAGACUAGAGAUUAAACUUUAUUCUAUAAAUGAAAGUGUAAGCACUCCACCUCAAGAGUAAUUUGGCAACAUUGGAACUGAAAUCAUUAGACCGUUUCUGAAACCAGUAGUGAAGUAUGUUGUUUAAUUUGAUAAUCCGCAAAAAACCUUACCACACGCUUGAAUGUUUAUAUCAUGGAGAUAUUUACAAGCGUUGCACGGCUGUCUUCAGUUAAUGUCGCGAGACUUUGGGGA
rnacentral:rRNA from 1 species